GCGAAGGUGGCGGAAUUGGUAGUCGCGCUAGCUUCAGGUGUUUGGGUCCUUACGGACGUGGGGGUUCAAGUCCCCCCCCUCGCACCA
rnacentral:tRNA from 1 species